rnacentral:rRNA from 1 species
GACGAACGCUGGCGGCGUGCCUAAUACAUGCAAGUAGAACGCUGAAGCGAGGAGCUUGCUCUUCUUGGAUGAGUUGCGAACGGGAGAGUAACGCGUAGGUAACCUGCCUGGUAGCGGGGGAUAACUAUUGGAAACGAUAGCUAAUACCGCAUAAAAUGGAUUAUCGCAUGAUAAUCCAUUGAAAGGUGCAAAUGCAUCACUACCAGAUGGAACUGCGUUGUAUUAGCUAGUUGGUGGGGUAACGGCGCACCAAGGCGACGAUACAUAGCUGACUUGAGAGGGUGAUCGGCCACACUGGGACUGGGACACGGCCCGGAAUCCUACGGGAGACAGCAGUAGGGAAUCUUCGAGAAUGGACGGAAGGCUGACCGAGCAACGCCGCGUGAGUGAAGAAGGGUUUCGGAUCGUAAAGCUCUGUUGUAAGAGAAGAACGAGUGUGAGAGUGGAAAGUUCACACUGUGACGGUAUCUGACCAGAAAGGGACGGCUAACUACGUG